AUCUUCAACUUGCUGCGGGCAAAUCCAAUGGAUAUGGGCAUCAAUGCCGCCUGCGGUGAUAAUAUUGCCUUCACCGGCAAUCACUUCGGUCCCCGGACCGAUAAUGAUAUCGACACCGGGCUGGAUAUCGGGAUUUCCGGCCUUGCCGAUCCCGGCGAUACGGCCAUCACGAAUACCGAUAUCGGCCUUGAUGAUGCCGGUAUAAUCAAGGAUCAGUGCAUUGGUGAUGACAGUAUCAACCGCGCCCUCGGCCCGUGUUGCCUGCGACUGGCCCAUGCCAUCGCGGAU
rnacentral:sRNA from 1 species